GGCACAGCAUGAUUCUAAAGUUAGUGCUGAGCAGGCGGCAACCGGUUGGGAGCAGGAAUGGCCGGAAAGCGUCGGCAGAGCAGGACUUAAAAUCAGAGCCUUUCCACUGGCCGCAGGUAGCAUUUGAUCAGGCUUUGGUCAACAACAAAUGAUGCAACGUUCUUCUUACACAACAUGUCUGUCUUUAAUCUGUGAGAUACCGAUUAAACCUUUAUCACAAAAAUAAAGUCCAGAGACAGUUAUACAAGGUCCUGGCUCACAACAGACUAAGUCAAAUCUGAUGGUGCUGGUGGGAUGAAUAACGACACCAAACCAAGACCUGCACAUAUUUGCUGUAUGAGCUACAGCUCAGCUAGGAGGUUAGCAGUAACCCAAAGCCACCAUUGAUGCUGUCCGGCCCU